rnacentral:rRNA from 1 species
GCCUGGCCCUAAAUCUUGAUGCUUACCCCACCAAAGCAUCCGCCCGAGAACUACGAGCACAAACGCUUAAAACUCUAAGGACUUGGCGGUGCCCCAAACCCACCUAGAGGAGCCUGUCCUAUAAUCGACAACCCACGAUACACCCGACCACUUCUUGCCAAAAACAGCCUACAUACCGCCGUCGUCAGCCCACCUUUACUGAAAGAACAAUAGUGGGCCUAAUCGCCCUCACCCCGCUAACAAGACAGGUCAAGGUAUAGCCCAUGAAGUGGAAGAAAUGGGCUACAUUUUCUACGUUAGAAAACCCCUUAUUCGGACGGAAGGGGGUAUGAAACUUCCCCCUAGAAGGCGGAUUUAGCAGUAAAGCAGGACAAUAAAGCCCCCUUUAAACCGGCUCUGAGGCAC